AAGUCGUAACAAGGUUUCCGUAGGUGAACCUGCGGAAGGAUCAUUACUAGAGCAAAGGAUAGACAGCGCCCGCGGAGCUUGCUCCCUGGGGCUACCCUACUUCGGUAGGGUUUAGAGUCGUCGGGCCUCUCGAAGAAGCUCGGUCCUGAACUCCACCCUUGAAUAAAUUACCUUUGUUGCUUUGGCGGGCCGCCUCGUGCCAGCGGCUUCGGCUGUUGCGUGCCCGCCAGAGGACCACAACUCUUGUUUUUAGUGAUGUCUGAGUACUAUUUAAUAGUUAAAACUUUCAACAACGGAUCUCUUGGUUCUG
rnacentral:misc_RNA from 1 species